UUAACUCUGAAGCAUUUUAAAUUGGAAUUUACCCUAACUAUAUGCAUAAUAUUAAACAGAGUACAAGUGCCAUUUGCCUUUUGCCACUAUGGAACCAAUAUCGAGCAAAAAUGAACAUGCAUGUAAAUAUUCAUUGUGUGUAGGUUUAAGAAAAAAAAAAAAAAAUUCUAACACAAUUCAAACUUAAUAUAAUUACAAAAAAUAAUCUGA
rnacentral:lncRNA from 1 species